AUGCAUUUUCCUCUUCUCCUCCUUGCAUUUCUGUCUUCCUUCCUUGCAUCUUCUCUUUUCCUCCUCGCAUUUCCAUCGUCCCUCCAUGCAUUUUCCCUUCUCCUCCUUACAUUUCUAUCUUCCCUCCUCGCAUUUUCCCUUCUUCUCCUUGCAUUUUCCCUUCUCCUCCUUACAUUUCUAUCUUCCCUCCUCGCAUUUUCCCUUCUUCUCCUUGCAUUUUCCCUUCUCCUCCUUGCAUUUCUAUCUUCCCUCCUUGCCUUUCCGUCUCCCCUCCUUGCAUUUCCAUCUCCCCUCCUUCCCUUCUCCGCUUGCCUUUCCAUCUUCCCUUCCUCUCCCUGCAUUCCCUUCUUGCCUUUCCCCCUCGCUACGCUGCCCUCCCCUCCUUGCAUUUUCACCUUGCCUCCCCCCCGCCAGCAGCCCGCCGAGGGCGAGACAACUUCCAGGAGCCGCAGCGCCCGCUGCCUCCCUCUGCUCCGCUCCCCUCCGCGCACACACACACCGCGCACACACCGCGCCCCGCGCACAGGUACCUCUCCACAGCGCGCCCGCUCCGCCGGCGCCCAGCGUGCGCCGCCAGCUCCGCGCGCAGCCCCGGCACGUCGGGUCCCCCUUCCUCCUCCUCCUCCUCCUCCUCCUCCUCCUCCCCUUUCUCCUCCCUGCCCGCCCCCUUCGCCGACGCGAGGAAGAGGGGGGCAAAGCCACCCCGCCCGCCCCGCCCCGUCCGUCCCGUCCCGUCGUGUCCCGUCCGUCCCGUGCCGCCGGGGCGCUGCGCCCUGCGCGGAGGCUCCGCGGGGCCCGGCGGGACGUGCCGCCCUCGGCCCCCCCCCGGCCCGGCGCGGUCGGGUUACCGCAGCCUGCCUGCCUGCCUGCCUGCCUGCCUGCCUGCAAGCCCUCUCCUGUUACGGCCGGCCGGGCCGGGCUGCAGGUGCCGUCGGGGGGGGGGUGCGAGCCCCGCCGUGGGGCCGGGCCUGCCCCCCGUCGCGGCGGGAGCUCCCCGUGGUGCUCGCCCGGCCUCCUGCUGCGCGCGGUCCUGGGGGUUUCCUCAGCUGGAUGUCUGGGGCUUGGGGCUGGGGUUCUGUUUCUACCUAUUUAUCUAUUUUGCCUGUGCGGUUUGGCUUCUUCAGUGUCCUCUUGAAUCCACGUGCACUUGCAGCGUCCACAGUAGGCUUGGCCAAGGAUUCCCACAGGUCUGCCACCACUCUCAUGAAGAACCUCUGCCUUUUGUUUGUUCUGAAUACUUUAUUAUCCUCUCACCUCUUGUACUGGAGAUAA
rnacentral:lncRNA from 1 species